CGCUAGCGGCAGGCCUAAUACAUGCAAGUCGAACGGUGUCUUCGGACAUAGUGGCGCACGGGUGCGUAACACGUAUGCAACCUACCUUACAUUGGGGGAUAGCCUUUCGAAAGGGAGAUUAAUACCGCAUAAGACAGUAGCUGGGCAUCCAGCAGCUGUUAAAGCAUUGCGGUAUAAGAUGGGCAUGCGUCCUAUUAGCUAGAUGGUGAGGUAACGGCUCACCAUGGCUACGAUAGGUAGGGGGCCUGAGAGGGUGGUCCCCCACACUGGUACUGAGACACGGACCAGACUCCUACGGGAGGCAGCAGUGAGGAAUAUUGGUCAAUGGGCGCAAGCCUGAACCAGCCAUGCCGCGUGCAGGAAGAAUGCCCUAUGGGUUGUAAACUGCUUUUAUUUGGGAAUAAACCUCUUUACGUGUAGAGAGCUGAAGGUACCAAAUGAAUAAGCACCGGCUAACUCCGUG
rnacentral:rRNA from 1 species